rnacentral:tRNA from 1 species
GCCCCGGUGGUGAAAUGGCAGACACGGGGGACUUAAAAUCCCUGGCCCUCACGGGCAUGCGGGUUCGACCCCCGCCCGGGGCA